rnacentral:rRNA from 1 species
ACGUAGGGUGCGAGCGUUAAUCGGAAUUACUGGGCGUAAAGCGUGCGCAGGCGGCUCUAUAAGACAGCUGUGAAAUCCCCGGGCUUAACCUGGGAACUGCGUUGGUAACUGUAGAGCUAGAGUGCGGCAGAGGGGAGUGGAAUUCCAGGUGUAGCGGUGAAAUGCGUAGAGAUCUGGAGGAACACCGAUGGCGAAGGCAGCCUCUUGGUUCGACACUGACGUUGAGGCACGAAAGCGUGGGGAGCAGACAG